rnacentral:snRNA from 1 species
AACUUCAUGUGUGUUUUAAAGA